UAAAGCAAAGAAGAGCGCAGAGUGAAUGCCUUGGCAUUGAGAGCCGAAGAAGGACGUGGUUAACUGCGAUAAGCAGCGGGGAGUUGUAAGCAAGCAUUGAUCCGCUGAUUUCCGAAUGGAGCAAUCCGCAUGAAGUAGUUCAUGCAUCCAUAUGUGAAUCAAUAGCAUAUGGAGGGGAACCGCCUGAACUGAAACAUCUAAGUAGGGCGAGGAAGAGAAAUCAACCGAGAUUCCGUAAGUAGUGGCGAGCGAACGCGGAAGAGGCCAAACCGAGAGAAGAAAUUCUUUCGGGGUUCGGACUGCAUUUAGCAUUCCUGAUCUUUAGUCGAACAGUCUGGGAAGGCUGACGAGAGAGUGUGAGAGUCACGUAGACGAAAAGGAGAAGGAGCGAGCAGGAUCCAGAGUACCGCGGGGCACGUGAAAUCCCGUGGGAAGAUGGGGGGACCACCCUCCAAGCCUAAAUACUACUCAAUGACCGAUAGCGUAUAGUACUGUGAAGGAACGGUGAAAAGAACCCCGGGAGGGGAGUGAAAAGAACCUGAAACUCUGUGCUUACAAGCACAUAGAGCACGUCAAUGUGUGAUAUGGUACCUUUUGUAGAAUGGUCCGGCGAGUUAUGGUAUGCAGCAUGGUUAAGGACUUGAGGUCUGAAGCCGAAGCGAGAGCGAGUCUGACAAGGGCGAUAAGUUGUAUGCCAUAGACCCGAAACCGGGUGACCUAGCCAUGUCCAGGCUGAAGUGGAGGUAAAACUCCAUGGAGGGCCGAACCGACCUCCGUUGAAAAGGCGGCGGAUGAGAUGUGGCUAGCGGAGAAAUUCCAAUCGAACCCGGAUAUAGCUGGUUCUCCCCGAAAUAGCUUUAGGGCUAGCGUUGUAUUAGAUUACCGGAGGUAAAGCACUGAAUGGGCUAGGGGCUGAGAAGUUACUGAACCCUAUCAAACUAAGAAUGCCGGAUAAUUGAUGUACAGCAGUCAGACUAUGUGAGAUAAGUCUCAUAGUCAAAAGGGAAACAGCCCAGACCCACAGCUAAGGUCCCAAAAUGGAUUUAAGUGGAAAAGGAUGUGGAAUUGCACAGACAACCAGGAUGUUGGCUUAGAAGCAGCCACUCAUUAAAAGAGUGCGUAAUAGCUCACUGGUCGAGUGACUCUGCGCCGAAAAUUUAACGGGGCUAAACUAUACACCGAAGCUUGGGAUACAUCUAAUGUAUGGUAGGAGAGCGUUCUGUAUGGGGAGAAGUCGUAGCGAAAGCGGCGGUGGACUAUACAGAAGUGAGAAUGCCGGAAUAAGUAGCGAGAAUUAAGUGAGAAUCUUAAUGGCCGAAAGUCUAAGGUUUUUGGAGGAAGGUUCGUCCGCUCCAAGUAAGUCGGGAGCUAAGGUCAGGCCGAAAGGCGUAGCCGAUGCACAUACGGUUGAUAUUCCGUAACCAUCUGUAAUUUAAGCAAAGGGACACUUCAAAAGGGUGUGACCCGGGCGUUGGUUGACCCGGGCGUAAGGGACCGAAAUUAGAGUAGGGAAGCACACUUGGCUGAAGGCGAGAAAAGCUUUGCGUAUAGAAGCAGAUGCCCGUACCGCAAACCGACACAGGUGGACAGGAAGAGAAUUCUAAGGCCAGCGGGAGAAGGGUAGUUAAGGAACUCGGCAAAUUGACUCCGUAACUUCGGAAUAAGGAGUGCUCGAAAGAGCCGCAGAGAAUAGGCCCAGGCGACUGUUUAGCAAAAACACAGGUCUCUGCCAAAUCGAAAGAUGAAGUAUAGGGGCUGACACCUGCCCGGUGCCGGAAGGUUAAGAGGAGGAGUGAGAGCUCCGAAUUGAAGCCCCGGUAAACGGCGGCCGUAACUAUAACGGUCCUAAGGUAGCGAAAUUCCUUGUCGGGU
rnacentral:rRNA from 1 species